UAUUCCAAAAAUAAACACAUAUUUUAUAUGUAGAAAGAUACAAAACUGGGCAGCAUCAAUUCCCAUUAUCGCCAUCGCCAUUAAGUUAUAGUUGUUUCGGAUAACUACCACCAUCCAUCCACUGCCACUCGACAGUAUUCGCUAUCCGAUUCAAAGAAAGUGCUCCCCCCUUUUUAUGUCGAUCAGUUUUGCUGUUUUACUUUUAAUAGAAAUUGUUUCGCUUCUGUGUGAUCAAAUCGUUUCGGCUAUAUACAAAAUAGACUCUAAAGCUGUAUGAAAACAAAUACAUAGACAUUUACAAGCUAUGUAUAUAGACGACAGAGACGGCCGUGAUUGCACUCAUUGGGCUCGUUCUCUUCUUCGGUGCCACCCCCACGGUCUACGUGAGUCUGGCCCAUGCAGUGCGAAUUGCGUGGAUUUUGGAUAAAGACCACCCAAGCACGAUCUGUCCGAAUUUUACAGCUCUCUCUUUUCAGAAAUUUGCAUAGCUUAAGGGCUUUCAGAGAGAGCAAGAGAGCGAAAGAGGGAGAGCAAGAGAGCGAGAGAGAGAGAGAGAAAGAAAGACUAAUGGACUAAUAGCGAUCAAAAUGAGAGAGAGAAGGAGAGCGCAGCGGUCGAAGUCGUGUUCAUAUUUUUGACAAAAUUUUCUACCAAAAACAACCAAUAAAAUACAUAAUUUUGUUUCCUGGCA